CUCGUAGGUGGCCAACUAAGUCAUACGUGAAAUCCCUCGGCUUAACCGGGGAACUGCGUCUGAUACUGGAUGGCUUGAGGUUGGGAGAGGGAUGCGGAAUUCCAGGUGUAGCGGUGAAAUGCGUAGAUAUCUGGAGGAACACCGGUGGCGAAGGCGGCAUCCUGGACCAAUUCUGACACUGAGGAGCGAAAGCCAGGGGAGCAAACG
rnacentral:rRNA from 1 species